UACAGAGGGUGCGAGCGUUAAUCGGAAUUACUGGGCGUAAAGCGUGCGUAGACGGUUAUUUAAGUCGGGUGUGAAAGCCCCGGGCUCAACCUGGGAAUUGCAUUCGAGACUGAAUAGCUAGGGUACGGUAGAGGGAAGCGGAAUUUCCGGUGUAGCGGUGAAAUGCGUAGAUAUCGGAAGGAACAUCAGUGGCGAAAGCGGCUUCCUGGACCAGUACCGACGUCAGGCACGAAAGCGUGGGGAGCAAACAGGAAUUAGAUACCCG
rnacentral:rRNA from 1 species